CUGGACCACGACGCUGUUUGUUUUCGAUCCCUCGCAGGAAUGGUGGUUGGCGCGAUGUGCGCGAUAACUGGUGUCCUCACAAUCGCUCUUCCUGUGCCCGUCAUCGUCUCCAAC
rfam:Mesocestoides corti genome assembly, scaffold: MCOS_contig0001148